GCCACUUUAGCUCAGUCGGUAGAGCAGCGCAUUCGUAACGCGCAGGUCGCGAGUUCGAGCCUCGUGAGUGGCUCCA
rnacentral:tRNA from 2 species